CAGCGCAGCAGCAGAGCAGCUGGGAGUUUGUCGCUGAAACUUUGAGGACUUUAUUUCUAUCUCUGCUCCGUUCUGUUGAGAUGUCGAACACCGGGGGCUCCGGGGCCGGUGACGGGAUGUACUCCAAGCUGAUAGACGACGAGGCCGGUUACGGAGAGCUAAACAUCAGGCCAGAUGUGGGACACAGCGUUCACCCGGUGUCUCCGAUCAGAAUCAUCCCCAGACCGAGUGGCCCCGGGCCCUACCGCCUCGCCACCAUCUGUCUGGCGACGCUGUGUGCCAUCCUGCUCAUCUCCAUCAUAGCCGUCACCGCAAACAAUAAGAACAAAUCUCAGAAGAGUGAAGAGACGUCAGAGGUGCAGAAACAGAAGCAGGAGGCCAACGUGACGGCUCUGAUGGCGUCCAUCAGCAAACUGCAGCAGGAGAAGAAGAAGCUGCAGGAGGAGAAGGACGAGCUGCUGCUCGGACUGGCUUCCAGGAGGACCACUAAAGCUCCAAACGUGAUCAAACCGACGCCACAGGCCGCCAUCGUCUGCCCCACGGACUGGCAUCUCUUCAACGGCAGCUGUUACUUCAUCUCCAGAACCACCAGGGACUGGCCGGAAAGCAAAUCCUUCUGUGAGAGCCAAGGAGCUCAUCUGGCCAUCAUCCACACAGCAGAGGAGCAGACGUUUCUGUGGAACCUUCUCCCCAGAGGACACUGGAACGCCUACUGGUUUGGGAUCACUGACGAACACACGGAGGAUCAGUGGAAAUGGGUUGAUGGGACUCCGCUGGUCGGAGGUUUCUGGGAAGUCGGCGAGCCCAACAACCACAUCGACGAGGACUGCGGCUACAUAGUGAAGACUCGGGUGUUGGAGCGGGUUCCCAUCCGGAGCUGGUACGACGCCCCCUGCACCAUGUACUGGCCCUUCAUCUGCGAGAAGGAGAUGAUUCCUGGAGCCAGCACCGCCAUGCCUCACUGAACCUCAGCCCUGAUCACCUGGGGAACCACAGGAGGAGGAGGAGUGCAACCGUUCUUCCAGCAGGUUGAUUCCAGAGGUGAUGAAGGUCUGAAGGACAUGAAGAGCAGCCAGAAACUCCUGAACACUCAGAUGGACGAAGCAGAACACCUUGUCCUGGUACAGUCUACUCUCCUCUUUAAAGAUCUGUGUGAACAUUCCUGAGUACACUGAGGCUGCUUCCACAUCGAUGCCACACUAUGUCAGGUCGGACUCAUAGAAGAUCAGGUUUCCUCUCUGCAGCUGAUUAAAAGCCAGUUUUCCCAGAGACUCAAUCAUCCUCCUGCUGUCUGGACUCCAGUGUGGAUCUGUCUCAGCUCCUCCAUCAUACUUGACCUUCUUGACUUUGGCCUGAACCACCAGGUGGUGGAUGAACAUCUCAGUCAGGGUUCUGGGCAGAUCUCCUCCCUCUCUGGUUCUCAGCAGCUUCUCCAGAACUGUAGCAGUGAUCCAGCAGAACACUGGGAUGUGGCACAUGAUGUGGAGGAUUUGUGAUGUCUUCAUGUGGGAGAUGAUGCUGCUGGCCUGCUCCUCAUCUCUGGAACUCUUCCUGAAGUACUCCUCCUUCUGUGGGUCGCUGAACCCUCUGACCUCCGUCACCAUGUCCACACAGUCAGGAGGGAUCUGAUUGGCUGCUGCAGGUCGUGUGGUUAUCCAGAGGCGAGCAGAAGGAAGCAGCUUCCCCCUGAUCAGGUUUGUCAGCAGCACAUCCACUGAGGUGGACUCUGUAACAUCAGUCAGGAUCUCAUUGUUGUGGAAGUCCAGAGGAAGGCGACACUCAUCCAGACCGUCAAAGAUCAACACAACCUGGAAGUCUUCAAAGCUGCAGAUUCCUGCUGCUUUGGUUUCUAUGAAGAAGUGAUGAACAAGUUCCACCAAGCUGAACUUUCUCUCUUUCAGCACAUUCAGCUCUCUGAAAGUCAAUGGAAACAUGAAGUGGAUGUCCUGGUUGCUUUUGUCUUCAGCCCAGUCGCGAGUCAACUUCUGUGUUAACACUGUUUUCCCGAUGCCAGCCACUCCCUGUGUCAUCACUGUUCUGACUGGUCCAUCUGUUCCAGGUGAACCUUUAAAGAUGUCUUCAGGUCUGAUGCUUGUUUCUGUUCUGUCUGCUGCUUCAGUCUGUCUGACCUCAUGUUCAUCAUUGACCUCUGCAGUCCCUCCCUCUGUGAUGUACAGCUCUGUGUAGAGCUCAUUCAGGAGGGUUGAUGCUCUCAAACACUCUCUGGAACUUCUUCUUCAGACCACGUUUAAGUUUAUGUCUACAAACUGCAGCAGUAAAUUCUGAAAAAAAACACAACAAAUGAGAUCAAUGAUUAAAUGACAGUCCACACAGAGACAAACAGCAGCUACGACACCAUGAACGUCUUCAGGAGAGUCUGAAAAUGGAACCAGUCAUCUCCACAUGUAAACCACCUCGCUGUGACGUGGACGUUCACAACAGACAGAAACACUUUGGAUUUCAGAGCAGGUCAGACAACACGUCGUACAAAUUGGUUCUGUUCUACAAUAAGUGACUCUUUCAGUCAGUUCCAGCUUACAUCUGAUCAGCAGAUGGACGGACGUCUUAAAAGUUCAUUAAUUCAUCCUUCGACUGGUCGCUCUUGAAGGACAGACAGCUGGAUUCAGGACACACAGCUGGGUUCAGGACAGUCUGGUCUCUGCUGCUGGAUCCUGAAACCAAUCCAGAACAGAUAAAAACUGAUGAAAAACAUCUUCAAGCUGUUAGCAAACACAACAACAACAACUUUGAGUCUGAAACGUCUUUCUGUCAGUUUUACUCUCACCUUCCACCUGCAGAUCGUCUGAAAAGAAGGGGUUGCUCCUUUGACCAGUCACUCUUCAUGGACACACAGCUGGAUCCAGCCCCCCCCACCCCCACCCCCACCCCUCUACCUCCAUCCCUCUAUCUCUACCUCUAUCCCUCUAUCUCUCUACCUCUCUACCUCUUCUGUCCCUCUCAACCCGCCCGGCCAGCAGCAGAUGGGUUCCCCCACAUAAAGACCCGGGUUCUGCUCAAGGUUUUUUCCCUGUUAAAAGGGUGUUUUCCUGCCACUGUCUCCUUAGGGCUGCUCUGGGGGUUCAAGCAUAUGGGUUCUGUAAAGCGUCUCGAGACAAUUUGACUUUAAUUGGUGCUAUAUAAAUAAAAUUGAACUGAAUUGAAUUGAAAUUAUUCUGGACUGCUGUUGGCUGUCAGGUUUGUUUCCCCCUUUAGCUUCACACAUGAAUAAAAUUACACACAUCUGUAACAAGAGUUCAACAUGUAGGGAGAAGUUUUACUGCUUUUAUCUACUGUUCUACUGCAGCUGGCAUGAAUAACUGUGAUGUUGUUCUCUGCAGCCCUGCAUCAGUCCAAAACUCAGCUCACUGUUUGUUCUGGAAUAUUCACAUCUUUAACAAGCUCUCCUCACAAGAUGCUGUUCUGCUGACAUCUGCUGGACAAACACAACAACUACACUGUACAGAAAGAGAAGCAGUUGGCCUCAGAAACAGGAUUUUAAAUGUGUUACUCAGUCAACCUGCUGCACAUUCAUUACAAAGACGUGUUUGUUACUGGAUUUGUUUCACUGUUGAAACUGGUAGAAAAGCAUUUAGGUUCAUAUUAAGGCUCCUUAAUAAAACUGAUUGAAAGGAAACAGAAAUUAGCCACUUGGAACAACAUUUAGCUAAAAGGCAGCACAUAUGUAGAGUCAUUACACAAGUAUUUGAUGCAUGUUUAUAAUAAAAUCAGUAUUUCUGUGUGCUUUUCUUUGA